rnacentral:misc_RNA from 1 species
CUAGAGGCCUUAAAAAUUGCAAAAAGCACCUCAUGCUGCUGGUGGAUUUGUGUCAGGUGAGCAUGCACUUCUCAAUUCCACAAUUAACGAUUUUCCCAUUAUAAAUGACAAAAUAUUAAUUGUGUUUAGCUCUGAAUGUUGAAUGCAUACCAGUAAACUUAUAAAUUUUGGCAAUGUAUUUUGAUACUAAUAACAAUUGUGG